rnacentral:tRNA from 2 species
CGCUGAGCGUGGUGCGCAGCUUGCCCGGUUCGCCCUCGGCGAGGGUGAGCAGCGGGGUGUCCGCCUCGUCGGUGGCGUGCCGGAUCGACAGCUCGACGGCC